AAAAAAAAAAAAAAAAAAGAAUCCCCAAGCAUAAACCAGAGGUCAUUCUUGAGACUAAACAACCUUAGCCUAGCUCUAUUUGAAUCCCCCAAGAGGCCCAACCUAGUUCUAAUAACGAUAAUAUUCCUGAGAACCAACCUGUUUUUGACCCCGAAAUUGAUCACCAUCUUGAACACACCGUCGAGGCUAAUAUGGUGUCAAAUCCCUCUUUACCUCUGUUGAAUGCAAGGUCUGAAAAGCCUCUUGAAAAUUAGGACUCUACAGAUGUUACUAACCAAAUCUCUAAUGGAAAUGAGCCUACUAAGGAGAUACCCAUCUUUAACUCCUCUGCUAUGCUUGCUAAUGAUCUUAAUCUGGACUCUAGUAUAGCUAUUAUUGAAGAAGAUCCACAGCCUUCAAAAGCUCAUUUGUUGGAUUCAAAAGCUAUGGUGAAUGCUCCCAAAAAGAAAGGCUGAAAGGCUUCUUGACUCUACAAAAGAAAUGGAAGACUCAAUUGCUGUGAAUUUAAGGUACUUCCUGUGAUGAUUGAUGUUGGAACUAAUACUGAGAAGCUGCUAAAAGACCCAUUGUAUUUGGGUCUUCAAGAACAUCGUCUUGAUGGUGAUGAGUAUGUUGCUGUCAUCGAUGAAUUCAUGAAUGCAGUUUUUACUCGUUGGCCAAAUGUGAUUGUGCAGUUUUUACUCGUUGGAUGUGCAUUGUAUUUUUUAUUCAUUCUGUUUUCUGCAAUUUUUUUUAAUUACAUGAAAUCAUUUCCGGCGAGUAUAGUUCGCCGGAAAUAAUUUUUAAGCAAAGAAGAUUAUUUGCGGCGAAUAAAUAUCGCCGCUAAUAACAUUUUACGGUGACAUGUAUUCAAGCUUAAAGUCGUUUGCAAUAAAAUGAUAUUUAGCCCUAUGUAUUUGCAUUGAAGGUAUGGUUUGGAUAUUUGAAUUUAUUUUUAAUAAUUAAGGAUGUGAUUAUUAAUGAAGUUGUAAUUUUUUU